AGGCACUGUUUCCUAAGUGAGUAGCUUGUUAUAGCCAAAAAGAAAUUUCCACUGGCUAGCUUCUGGGAGUAGUUGGCCAGAGGGAAUUUGAAACCAUCCAGAAGAGAAAAGGGCUACCCCUUUCCUUCAACAAGGGCUUGUUCCUGGGGGCUAUAUGACCAAGUGUAGGACUUGGUGGAUUGGGGAAUCAAAAGUGCCAUGGUCAAAGGCAAAUGGGAAACAGCACAGGUGGCUGAAUCUGCAAGCCUGUUUCCCUUGGCCUGAAGUACAUCCUCCUUCCGGUGUCCUUCACAAAGCAUUACAGGAACCUCUCUGGGUCCUUGGACAGCUUGCAGUAAUUGUAGAAUUUCCCCUGCAUACUUAGUGGGGGGAUGUUUGCUGUCAAAAGACUUCUUUUUUUUCUAUAUAGCCCCAUGAGCAUACAAGACAUAAAAGACAAUUUGGGGUCAGUAAAUUCACUCUAAUUCCUUUCACCAAUUCUAAAGCCCUGGUGAGGGCCAUGAGAUUAGCUUUCUGGGCAGAAGUCUGGUGGGGGAGAGGGGAACGGGACUCAUAGCUUAGUUUCUAGGUUCAAUUGAGGCUCACCAGCCUCAUCAGACAGUACACACCUGUCUACCUUCUCCUGUUAUCAAGAAAACUGGGCCCAUCAUAAACUGUAGAGGGCCAGUACUAAGUCCAUGUACAGAAAAACUCCGGUCCAGGUCUUACUUGAGACCUGUUCUCUAUAAGGGUUCAAAGUUCAAAGAAUUAGCUCAGCAUCUUCCGUGUCAGUGAUGAGAAACAAGCUGGAGAGAAAUUUAAGAAAUUCACAAAGGAUCAUUACAAAAUGAUGGAAUUCUUCCUUAUUUACUCCUACCAUCUCAAGGGCAUUUGUCCAAUGUUCCGGCAUCUACCCAUCAUCGCUCUUCCUUGCCAUGUGACCAGCUAAUCUUCACUUCUUGUUCUAUAAUCUUUCAUGUGAAGUAUGAACAAUGUCAAUUAUCCCAACAGAGGACACAAAGAAAUUUCAGAAAAUGCUUUGAUCAACCAACACAACUACCUUGACAAAUGGAGAGAAGCAACUGCCAAAGAUGAUAACAAGUAGAGAAUAAAUUAGCUUGUAAAAUCUUUUAAUUUUAUGAUGUUUGUGCUAACAAUGACAAAUCAUUCUGAGACUCUACAGUCUGUCACAUUUGAUAGAUUUAUACAUUAGACAGAAAUGGGGGCCAUUACCAGUUGUCUUGGUCUCUUUUUUCCCACUAGGUUCUGAUGACUCUGAUGGAUGGAGUGAGCCUAAUGACUCUCCAUAGUCUCCCUGAAAUCCAACACAAGACCUGCCUUGAUGAUGGUAUCAGUGUUCUUUGAGAACAAAGGACCAAUAACAACAAGUUUCACUUGAAGACACUCAGGAGUUCAAAAGUUGCUCAGUGUUGCUCUCACUGCAAAAAAUUCAGUUUUCCACUCAGUCACUUUUAAUUGAAGAAAAACUCUGAUGCAAGUUAAAAGUGCAAUGUUUUCAUAAAACACUCCAAUUCAAAGGAAUUGUUCUCUCUGUGCCAGCUAUAGAUGAUUUCAUGUUAAGGAAAUAUAUUAAUUAUCUUCUGUAUGUUUAACUGUUCUGAUUCAGUUCUAGAACACCCUUUGUUGUCUGUAUUAGUCAAAAUGAUACCAUUCCUGGAAAUAUUUUUGUACAAUUAGAGGAAAUUUGUUAGUUGUCAGUAAUUUCUGCAAGAUCCAGAUGUAAAGUAUCAACACUUUCAAGAUGAAAAGAGGGACUGUUAGCAGCUCACAUUUCAGGCUUUCAAUCAAUCAUGGUGUCCCUGCCCCAAGGAUGGUGUCAGUCCUUUAAGUGUUUAUAUUGUUUUCCCCACCUCCCAAAUUGUGUUUUUGUUUUAUCCUUAAAUGGGGACCAUGGCAACUUUUAAUCCUCCAGUUUUUAGCUCCAUAGGGAAGUCAUUGGUCUUUUUUUUGCUAUUAAAUUCAUGCUAAACUGUCAGUGCUCAGAACUUUGGGUGUCAGUUGACUGGAUUGAACUUGUGACAAUUGGGCUUGGUGGUUUUCUCCUAAAGGAAGGCUUAAGCUUAUAGAAUCUGUGCAUGGAAGCCACUGUCAUCCAUUAAACCUGAUUGUGUUGAAGGUA